rnacentral:misc_RNA from 1 species
GAAAUGCGAUAAGUAGUGUGAAUUGCAGAAUUCAGUGAAUCAUCGAAUCUUUGAACGCACAUUGCGCCCCUUGGUAUUCCAUGGGGCAUGCCUGUUCGAGCGUCAUUUGUACCCUCAAGCUCUGCUUGGUGUUGGGUGUUUGUCCCCGUCUCCGCGCGUGGACUCGCCCCAAAGUGAUUGGCAGCCGGCGUACUGGUCCCGGAGCGCAGCACAUGUCGCGCAAACGAGUGCCUUGGUACGGCGGCGUCCAUAAGCCCCUCUCUCACGCUCUUGACCGCGGAUCAGGUAGAGAUACCCGCUGAACUUAAGC